rnacentral:rRNA from 1 species
AGAGUUUGAUCAUGGCUCAGAUUGAACGCUGGCGGCAGGCCUAACACAUGCAAGUCGAACGGUAACAGGAAACAGCUUGCUGUUUCGCUGACGAGUGGCGAACGGGUGAGUAAUGUCUGGGAAACUGCCUGAUGGAGGGGGAUAACUACUGGAAACGGUAGCUAAUACCGCAUAACGUCGCAAGACCAAAGAGGGGGACCUUCGGGCCUCUUGCCAUCGGAUGUGCCCAGAUGGGAUUAGCUUGUUGGUGGGGGUAACGGCUCACCAAGGCGACGAUCCCUAGCUGGUCUGAGAGGAUGACCAGCCACACUGGAACUGAGACACGGUCCAGACUCCUACGGGAGGCAGCAGUGGGGAAUAUUGCACAAUGGGCGCAAGCCUGAUGCAGCCAUGCCGCGUGUAUGAAGAAGGCCUUCGGGUUGUAAAGUACUUUCAGCGGGGAGGAAGGGAGUAAAGUUAAUACCUUUGCUCAUUGACGUUACCCGCAGAAGAAGCACCGGCUAACUCCGUGCCAGCAGCCGCGGUAAUACGGAGGGUGCAAGCGUUAAUCGGAAUUACUGGGCGUAAAGCGCACGCAGGCGGUUUGUUAAGUCAGAUGUGAAAUCCCCGGGCUCAACCUGGGAACUGCAUCUGAUACUGGCAAGCUUGAGUCUCGUAGAGGGGGGUAGAAUUCCAGGUGUAGCGGUGAAAUGCGUAGAGAUCUGGAGGAAUACCGGUGGCGAAGGCGGCCCCCUGGACGAAGACUGACGCUCAGGUGCGAAAGCGUGGGGAGCAAACAGGAUUAGAUACCCUGGUAGUCCACGCCGUAAACGAUGUCGACUUGGAGGUUGUGCCCUUGAGGCGUGGCUUCCGGAGCUAACGCGUUAAGUCGACCGCCUGGGGAGUACGGCCGCAAGGUUAAAACUCAAAUGAAUUGACGGGGGCCCGCACAAGCGGUGGAGCAUGUGGUUUAAUUCGAUGCAACGCGAAGAACCUUACCUGGUCUUGACAUCCACGGAAGUUUUCAGAGAUGAGAAUGUGCCUUCGGGAACCGUGAGACAGGUGCUGCAUGGCUGUCGUCAGCUCGUGUUGUGAAAUGUUGGGUUAAGUCCCGCAACGAGCGCAACCCUUAUCCUUUGUUGCCAGCGGUCCGGCCGGGAACUCAAAGGAGACUGCCAGUGAUAAACUGGAGGAAGGUGGGGAUGACGUCAAGUCAUCAUGGCCCUUACGACCAGGGCUACACACGUGCUACAAUGGCGCAUACAAAGAGAAGCGACCUCGCGAGAGCAAGCGGACCUCAUAAAGUGCGUCGUAGUCCGGAUUGGAGUCUGCAACUCGACUCCAUGAAGUCGGAAUCGCUAGUAAUCGUGGAUCAGAAUGCCACGGUGAAUACGUUCCCGGGCCUUGUACACACCGCCCGUCACACCAUGGGAGUGGGUUGCAAAAGAAGUAGGUAGCUUAACCUUCGGGAGGGCGCUUACCACUUUGUGAUUCAUGACUGGGGUGAAGUCGUAACAAGGUAACCGUAGGGGAACCUGCGGUUG